rnacentral:rRNA from 1 species
UGCGUAGGCGGAAUAUUAAGUCAGUGGUGAAAUCCUGCAGCUUAACUGUAGAACUGCCAUUGAUACUGGUCUUCUUGAAUAUAGUUGAGGUGGGCGGAAUGUGUAAUGUAGCGGUGAAAUGCUUAGAUAUUACACAGAACACCGAUUGCGAAGGCAGCUCACUAAACUAUCAUUGACGCUGAGGCACGAAAGCGUGGGGAGCGAACAGGAUUAGAUACCCUGGUAGUCC